CAUUUAUAACUUCCUGGAGUCUGCUUGGAGCAACUGCUUUGCCUUGCCUUGCCUUGCCUUCCAAUACUCAAGCUCUUCAGCAGCCUCGCUGAGGUUGCCUGCCUGCAGGUUGGUACACUAAGGUGAUUUUGUACACCUAACCACUUUCUGAGUUUCACACCCAUUUGCUGAGAACGGUGACCUACUGGCCCAUGCUGGGGCUCCUCUCUGACUUCCCUGACUGGAGCACUUCCUUAGAACUGCCUGUUCUCCUUUUUCUAGUUUCCACACCAGGUUUUACCACGUGUAAAAUUCCACCUCCUAAUCACUGGCUGCUCCUUUCUGCCUGGAACCUCUCAUAUUGCUGCAACUGUGACUGAGCCAAAAAAUUGACAACAAACACAAAAAUCAAACUCUACCUGAUGCUUUUUUUCAGGGGAUUUCCAAGACUUCUUUAUGCCUCCUCAGGCUUCCUCUGGGCUGAGUGAUUCAGCUUUUCUCUAAACUUUUGCCCGAAAAUAGAUUUAGAGAUCAACCAUCCUGAAGAUGACUGUACCCACACUUAACUCUCUCCUUCUCUCUUCCCACAUUUAAGGGAUGCUAUAGAAAGGAUGAUUCAAGGUCUCUCACAGAACCAGGCCAGGCCAGAAUCUGAUUCUCCUCCAGUCAUGGCCAUUAUGGCUCCUGUUUCAUUUCUGUCACGUGGCCUGAAGGCACUCCCCAUCACAGGGCCAUUCAGCCUUGUCCAUUUAACCUUGUUAUUCCAUGCAGAGCACAUGCUGUCCCAGGAGUGGUCCAGUUGGGAGGGGCUGGAGAGGUGCUAAGCCAAGAGGAUCCAGGGAGAGCAGAGGCAGCUCAACAAGAAGGGGUGUUAAGGGCCUUGCUCAGAAGCAGCCUGGCUCCGAGGAGCACAGAGCGGUUUGGCUGGAAGAUAAAGAAACCAAGGCACAGACUCACGUCCAGGACCCUACAACCAGUGCAUGCUGGAGCCAGCAUUCAAACCCAGCACACGGGGCGCCCGAGUCCAUGCUCCUAACCAUUACAUGGUGAUGCCUUGAAACUCACAGCAGAGAAAAGUUUGAGAGAAAAGUUUCAGAAAGACAAAAGUAGAAAUCUUGAAAGACUCUGAGCAUCAAGUGAAUGCUAUAGCAAUAGAUUUAGAAAAAUGAUGCAUGAUGAUUUAAGUGGAAGGUGUGUCAUACCCCCAAAGAAAUGCUGAAUUCCCCAGGUAGUGUGGGGAUCCAAACAAAGGAAAACUUGUACCUUAUUUCUUUAGUGGAACCCGAGGGGGCAACAAGUCUCCGCUUGCUCUCUCUCUCUACCUCCACCAGUCACAGGCAGAGAAAGUAAAGGUGGGGCACGAGCAGAAUGGACACGGCAUAGCUCCAUCAAGUCUCCCAGAGCUCCAGAGCAGCACAAAAAGGCAUCCAAAUACUUCCUAUGCUUCCCUGUCCUCUCACCCCAAAAGGGAAGCAAAAGACAAGCCUGGGGUGACCUCGAGCAGUCUAGCAGUCUUGCAAGUUGUAUGAACUGGAAACACGAGUCCAGAGGAGAACAAGACCAUCUUGAGGAUACCAGCAAGGAUAGAUCGCUAUGCCCGGAAGUCAACAGGAGCUAUCGCAAAUAAACCAGAAUUUCUGAGGACAAAGGUCCCCCUCCUGAUAGACAUCAAAGUAUGAUGACUUAAGGCCCCAGAAUUUAGAGGCAACCCAGGGAGAAAAGGGUGGGGGAAAAAACUCCAGAACAGAAUUAAUAAAUAAUUGACUGAAAGUAGCCUGAGUUGAAUAUGAUUGAAAUUAAGUUCAGUUAGAGAAUAAUGUUAUAUUUGUUUUUUGCACAGCAGAUUUCGCAGCCUGAGACUUUUACCUGCUUGGCUAUAAAGAAAUAAAACUUGUUUACCUUUGCAAACAGUACUCUUUCUCUCUAUGAAAGCCAAAAGAAUAACUCCGAAAGUGUUUUGAG
rnacentral:lncRNA from 1 species